rnacentral:misc_RNA from 1 species
AACGCACAUUGCGCCCCUCGGUAUUCCGGGGGGCAUACCUGUCCGAGCGUCAUUACAUCUCUCAAGCUCUGCUUGGUCAUGGGCCUCGCCCGCCCGCGGCGUGCCCGAAAUGCAGUGAGCGGUCCCGGGAGGCCUCGAGCGUAGUAAAACCACAUUCCGUUCGGAGGACCUCGCGGCGGCUGGCCACAACCCCCAUACUUCUGACGGUUGACCUCGGAUCAGGUAGGGAUACCCGCUGAACUUAA